ACGUGAAUAAUCUACCUCCGAGUGGGGAAUAACUGAGAGAAAUCUUAGCUAAUACCGCAUAACACUUACGAGUCAAAGCAGCAAUGCGCUUGGAGAGGAGUUCGCGGCCGAUUAGUUAGUUGGCGGGGUAAUGGCCCACCAAGACGAUGAUCGGUAUCCGGCCUGAGAGGGCGCACGGACACACUGGAACUGAAACACGGUCCAGACUCCUACGGGAGGCAGCAGUGGGGAAUUUUGCGCAAUGGGGGAAACCCUGACGCAGCAACGCCGCGUGGAGGAUGAAAUAUCUUGGUAUGUAAA
rnacentral:rRNA from 1 species